CUACCCCCUUUUCAUGAAGAAGGCUGCCUUGAUGCCUCUCCUCCCUAUCUUUCCCUUUUCCCCACUAUCAGUCAUGGCCACCUUGCCAUAGGCCACCACUGCCUCACCGCCCUAGCUACACCACCAUCGAACCCCACCUCAUUUUCCCUUCCCUCCAUUCUUUCUUAAAUAGCCACGGGAAGAACCCCUAUGUCAGCAUGCGGGGGAGGGAGA
rnacentral:lncRNA from 1 species